rnacentral:rRNA from 1 species
CCUACGGGGGGCUGCAGUAGGGAAUAUUGCUCAAUGGGGGAAACCCUGAAGCAGCAACGCCGCGUGGAGGAUGAAGGCUUUAGGAUUGUAAACUCCUUUUGUGCGAGAAGAUAAUGACGGUAUCUCACGAAUAAGCACCGGCUGACUCCGUGCCAGCAGCCGCGGUACUACGGAGGGGGCAAGCGUUACUCGGAAUCACUGGGGGUAAAGAGUGCGCAGGCGGGUUUGUAAGGCAGAUGUGAAAUCCUGUGGCUUAACUACAGAACUGCAUUUGAAACUAUGAGUCUAGAGUGUGGGAGAGGUAGGUGGAAUUCUUGGUGUAGGGGUAAAAUCCGUAGAUAUCAAGAAGAAUACUCAUUGCGAAGGCGACCUACUGGAACAUUUCUGACGCUCAGGCACGAAAGCGUGGGGAGCAAACAGGAUUAGAUACCCCUGUAGUC